AAGAGGCAGGAAUACCAACAGAGCACUAUGGAUCAGCACAGCCUAAGCCAGCAGUGAAGAUUUCAAGUGGGUGUUGCAGCAAAUGAGUAUUUCAAGAGUGAGAUGAUCCCAUUGUCAAAAUACAUGUGAAGAAAGGAAGAGUGAAGGAAUCCGUAACUCUAUGACAGCUACAUGGUCAACUCCUGUCACUUCUGCCACCCUGCUGAAUGCCAUGUCACACUGCCAAUGCUUGGAAGCACUGACUGCUGGCUUCUGCAGGACUGGAAGGAGAGGAAGACCUGGAUGCAUUGACUACCUCUAAACUGUUAAACAGAAUCAGUCAGAGAAUUUUCCUGGAGGCCAGCUGGCAUGAAAGAGCUUGAAUCCAUGCAGCUAAAUUCUCUUGCCCUUCAAAUCACGGUGGCCACAUCCAAAAUAUCUGUUGGAGGUGGUGCCUGACCUGGGUCAGUACCCAGGCUGUGCUUUGGCAUUGUCUGGAAGAGCAUUAGCAAGCUUGCACCAAAGCCAUGCCAGGGACCAGUUUAGUAGUAUGGGUGGUUUCAGGCCCAUCCCUUGCUGGUCUUGUUUAGUUUAUUUAGUGUCAGAGGGAAACCUCAGUAAUUCUGCCAGGAGUCAACAGGAAACCCCUUCUGGCCUCAGCGGCCAGAAUCUGCUGAGAAGUAUAAUCAUUAGGUUGUUCACCUCCUUCACAUUUGGAUUCUUUUUCUCAUUUUAUUGUUUACUAAAUGGGCACUGAAAAUUUUGGAAGUAAUAAA